rnacentral:rRNA from 1 species
UACGAAGGGGGCUAGCGUUGCUCGGAAUCACUGGGCGUAAAGCGCACGUAGGCGGCUUUGUAAGUUAGAGGUGAAAGCCCGGGGCUCAACUCCGGAAUUGCCUUUAAGACUGCAUCGCUAGAAUUGUGGAGAGGUAAGUGGAAUUCCGAGUGUAGAGGUGAAAUUCGUAGAUAUUCGGAAGAAACACCAGUGGCGAAGGCGACUUACUGGACACAUAUUGACGCUGAGGUGCGAAAGCGUGGGGAGCAAACAGG